UACAUGCAAGUCGAACGACCCUUUCGGGGAUAGUGGCGCACGGGUGCGUAACGCGUGGGAAUCUGCCCUUGGGUUCGGAAUAACUUCGGGUAAACUGAAGCUAAUACCGGAUGAUGACGAAAGUCCAAACAUUUAUCGCCCAGGGAUGAGCCCGCGUAGGAUUAGCUAGUUGGUGGGGUAAAGGCCUACCAAGGCGACGAUCCUUAGCUGGUCUGAGAGGAUGAUCAGCCACACUGGGACUGAGACACGGCCCAGACUCCUACGGGAGGCAGCAGUAGGGAAUAUUGGACAAUGGGCGAAAGCCUGAUCCAGCAAUGCCGCGUGAGUGAUGAAGGCCUUAGGGUUGUAAAGCUCUUUUACCCGAGAUGAUAAUGACAGUAUCGGGAGAAUAAGCUCCGGCUAACUCCGUGCCAGCAGCCGCGGUAAUACGGAGGGAGCUACCGUUGUUCGGAAUUACUGGGCGUAAAGCGCACGUAGGCGGCGAUUUAAUUCAGAGGUGAAAGCCCGGGGGCUCAACCCCGGAACUGCCUUUUGAGACUGGGAUUUGCUAAAAUCUUGCA
rnacentral:rRNA from 1 species